rnacentral:lncRNA from 1 species
AUGUUAAUCAUGUCUUCACGAUGCCCUCAUGGCAAUGUUUACAUGGGGGUUGGACCAAGACAAUCGGUACCAGAGCCUGGCCCAGCUGACACCCGCGUUAACCCUCACAUUUGCUGGUGCAGUGUCUGUAGGCCUCUGUUUCCCCAUGUGUUAACUGGCGAACAUGCCUUGCCUGUUCAAGCUUCUCCUCCAGGAAGUGGGAAUGAUGGACCAGGACAGUGCCGAGCGAGGGGCGAGCGAGCGAGAGCCCAGGAGGAGGAUGAGGCUGAUUUCUGCACACGGUGUCCUCACCAUCAUGGGAUAGACGCUCCUGCAGGUUCAGGUCCUUUGUUCCUGGAGCCCCUGCGGCAUCUCAGGGGAGGAGAAGUCAGGUGACUGCGGUGAAGCUGUCAAUCAUAGACCUUGCUCCUGUUACCAUAGAGAUUGGUCAGGUGACUGAAGGCCAGCCAAUCACAGUAAGCCAUCCCCCUGCUAAUGGGGAUUGGUGGUGGGUGGAGGGGUGAGCAUAUUUCCAAUUCUGGCCUAAAGACUUUUCUUGGAUUUUUUUUGAUGUGGAGCUGUAGAAAAGGCUUGCCUCUAAAAUUCUGAAGUGAAAAUAGUGGGGGUGUCUUUGCUUGCGGCCUGUUUCCUUCCAUGUGGGACAACCUGUCUAUCUGAAACAGCAUGAAGCCCACCCACAGAUGUAGGUAUUGGAAAGUGGCACAAGAGUGAGCGAUGGAGAGUAUAACUUUGUUUCCUCUCUGGGCCCAGUUGUGCCUGAGGUCCCCUCCAUCUCUCUACUUACUGGUAUGUAAAUCAGUAACUCUUGUCCUUUUGCUUAAGUUGGUUUGAGUUGUAUCACUUUCCAUCCAAAGAAUGCCAUUGAGUGCUGAAGGAUCCCAGGAAAUCUCUUGGACUGAAGCAUGGCAAGGCUUCUUGAAGGUCUGAGGCCAGGAACUCAAGGCAGCAGGACCCAGCAGGACCUGCCUCUCAGCUGCCUUUCUGCCUUUCCCCAGGCACUGGUCUCUGUCUUUGCUUUCUCUGAGGAACCAGCUUUUGCUUCUCCUCCAUGCUUACAGCUGGCAGAAUAUGGCCACCCCCAGCCCCUGACAGGUGGCUGUCUCCUAAUCCAGAUUCCAGAUUCAUAGGGUAGAGAAUCCAUUGGUCCAGCCUGAGCCUGAUGUCUGCUCCUGUGUGAUAGUUACGGACAGGAGGUCAGGGCCAUGUGUUGCAAACAAGACUGCCAGCAGCUCACCUUGGAGGUGGGAAGUUCAUUCUUAGAGAAAGGGAAUCAGCAUGGAAUUUGCUCAUACCCCUGUGGAGAUGCCUAGCCCAAUCUUAGGGUGCAGAGAGUCUCAGUGUUGGCCCCUCAAUAAAAUCUCGGGAAAAGUAUAUAUAUACA